GGGGGGGGGGGGGGGGGGGGGGGGGGGGGGGGGGGGGGGCGGGGGGGGGCGGCUGGUGGGGGGUGCGCGAGGGGCGGAGGGGUGGGGGAGAGGUGAGUAACCUGGCGUUGACGUUGGGAUGACUGCAGGAACCUGGGGCUACGACCGGAUAGGAGCGCCUGCUGCAUGGUGGGGGUUGGAACGUUUCGGCGGUUGGGGAUGGACUCGCGGCUUAUCAGCUUGUUGGUGGGGUAGUGGCUUACCAAGGCUUUGACGGGUAGCCGGCCUGAGAGGGUGACCGGCCACAUUGGGACUGAGAUACGGCCCAGACUCCUACGGGAGGCAGCAGUGGGGAAUAUUGCACAAUGGGCGGAAGCCUGAUGCAGCAACGCCGCGUGCGGGAUGACGGCCUUCGGGUUGUAAACCGCUUUCGCCUGUGACGAAGCGUGAGUGACGGUAAUGGGUAAAGAAGCACCGGCUAACUACGUG
rnacentral:rRNA from 1 species